rnacentral:rRNA from 1 species
AGAGCCUGACUGGAAAUUGUUGGCAUAGGUGGUUCCUACUUCCUAUGUACUCUGAUGCACAUCCUUGCUAAUUAUGCAAUGAACACUAACAACUCAAUACUCUUUCGUCUUUCCAGCCCACUUGCAAAUGUGCAGAUGGGAAAUGGAUUUAUUAUUUCUCAUGAAUCCGUCUGAGGAGGGGCUCGCGUCUGAUUAGCUAGUUGGUGAGAUAAUAGCUUACCAAAGCGAUGAUCAGUAGCUGGUCCGAGAGGAUGAUCAGCCACAUUGGGACUGAGACACAGCCCAGACUCCUACGGGAGGCAGCAGUGGGGAAUUUUUCGCAAUGGACGAAAGCCUAACGGAGCAAUGCUGCGUGGAGGUAGAAGGCCUACGGGUCGUGAACUUCUUUUCCCAAAGAAGAAGCAAUGACGGUAUCCGAGGAAUAAGCAUCGGCUAACUCUGUGCCAGCAGCCGCGGUAAUACAAAGGAUGCAAGCGUUAUCUGGAAUGAUUGGGCGUAAAGCGUCUUUAGGUGGCUUUUUAAGUCCGCCGUCAAAUCCCAGGGCUCAACCCCGGACAGGCGGUGGAAACUACAAAGCUGGAGUACGGUAGGGGCAGAGGGAAUUUCCGGUGGAGCGGUGAAAUGCGUAGAGAUCGGAAAGAACACCAACGGCUAAAGCACUCUACUGGGCUGACACUGACACUGAGAGACGAAAGCUAGGGGAGCGAAUGGGAUUAGAUACCCCAGUAGUCCUAGCCGUAAACGAUGGAUACUAGGCGCUGUGUGUAUCGACCCGUGCAGUGCUGUAGCUAACGCGUUAAGUAUCCCGCCUGGGGAGUACGUUCGCAAGAAUGAAACUCAAAGGAAUUGACGGGGGCCCGCACAAGCGGUGGAGCAUGUGGUUUAAUUCGAUGCAAAGCGAAGAACCUUACCAGGGCUUGACAUGCCGCAAAUCCUCUUGAAAGAGAGGGGUGCCUUCGGGAACGUGGACACAGGUGGUGCAGUGCUGUCGUCAGCUCGUGCAGUAAGGUGUUGGGUUAAGUCUCGCAACGAGCGCAACCCUCGUGUUUAGUUGCCACCGUUGAGUUUGGAACCCUGAGCAGACUGCCAGUGAUAAGCCGGAGGAAGGUGAGGAUGAUGUCAAGUCAUCAUGCCCCUUAUGCUCUGGGCGGGCUAUAGCUCAGUUGGUAGAGCACCUCGUUUACACAUGCGCCAAUGUUUUUCAGAGGAUUUUUUCAAAUUCUAAUACAAAAUAUAAUAAAUAAUUCAAUUUUUUGAAAUUUCAAAAUAAUAAUAAUAUUCUAAUAAUAUUUUAUUAAACUCAUCUAAAUCAUUUCAUCUCAU